GCUGGGUAUUGUGGCCCACACCUGUAAUCCCAGCAGCUCAGGAGGCUGAGGCUGGAAGAUGGCAAGUUCAAAGCCAGCCUCAG
rnacentral:sRNA from 1 species